AUAUUCAGAAGGUUAGAUUUAAAUUCAAUAUAACCUUGGUUGCACCUGGGGCGUUUCAUAGAGAUAAGCGUAGGCAGGCAGGUAGGUAGUGGGCCUGAAUGUGAUUGAGCCCCGUAAUGGUCAAACGGGAAGGUUGACGGUUUCGAAACUCCGGAAAACUAUAUCUUGGUACGCGAUAUGGCGAGUUUAUUAAGACUUCCCCGGUGUCUAAGAGCC
rfam:Desulfotomaculum acetoxidans DSM 771, complete genome.